rnacentral:rRNA from 1 species
ACGACUCUCGGCAACGGAUAUCUCGGCUCUCGCAUCGAUGAAGAACGUAGCAAGAUGCGAUACUUGGUGUGAAUUGCAGAAUCCCGUGAACCAUCGAGUCUUUGAACGCAAGUUGCGCCCGAAGCCUUUCGGCGGAGGGCACGCCUGCCUGGGCGUCGAA